UACGCCCGCUUUUGCCUCGAGAGCUACCAUGCAGCCGAGCGGUAGAGAUCUUUCGGGAUCUUGAGAGCGGCGUACGGGUGCGGAACACGUGUGCAACCUGCCUUUAUCUGGGGGAUAGCCUUUCGAAAGGAAGAUUAAUACCCCAUAAUAUACUGAAUGGCAUCAUUCGGUAUUGAAAACUCCGGUGGAUAGAGAUGGGCACGCGCAAGAUUAGAUAGUUGGUGAGGUAACGGCUCACCAAGUCUACGAUCUUUAGGGGGCCUGAGAGGGUGAUCCCCCACACUGGUACUGAGACACGGACCAGACUCCUACGGGAGGCAGCAGUGAGGAAUAUUGGACAAUGGGUGAGAGCCUGAUCCAGCCAUCCCGCGUGAAGGACGACGGCCCUAUGGGUUGUAAACUUCUUUUGUAUAGGGAUAAACCUACUCUCGUGAGGGUAGCUGAAGGUACUAUACGAAUAAGCACCGGCUAACUCCGUGCCAGCAGCCGCGGUAAUACGGAGGGUGCAAGCGUUAUCCGGAUUUAUUGGGUUUAAAGGGUCCGUAGGCGGAUCUGUAAGUCAGUGGUGAAAUCUCACAGCUUAACUGUGAAACUGCCAUUGAUACUGCAGGUCUUGAGUGUUGUUGAAGUAGCUGGAAUAAGUAGUGUAGCGGUGAAAUGCAUAGAUAUUACUUAGAACACCAAUUGCGAAGGCAGGUUACUAAGCAACAACUGACGCUGAUGGACGAAAGCGUGGGGAGCGAACAGGAUUAGAUACCCUGGUAGUCCACGCCGUAAACGAUGCUAACUCGUUUUUGGAAUGUAAGUUUCAGAGACUAAGCGAAAGUGAUAAGUUAGCCACCUGGGGAGUACGAACGCAAGUUUGAAACUCAAAGGAAUUGACGGGGCCCGCACAAGCGUGGAUAUGUGGUUUAAUUCGAUGAUACGCGAGGACUUACAGCUAAAUGGGAAAUGACAGUUUAGAAAUAAACUUUUCUUCGGACAUUUUCAAGGUGCUGCAUGGUGUCGUCAGCUCGUGCCUGAAG
rnacentral:rRNA from 1 species